ensembl:snRNA U6 U6 spliceosomal RNA
GUCCUUGCUUCGGCAGCACAUAUACUAAAAUUGGAACGAUACAAAGAUUAGCAUGGAACCUGCUCGAGGAUGACACGCAAAUUUGAGAAGCGUUCCAUAUUUUU